rnacentral:piRNA from 1 species
UGAAUUUUCCUCAUCAGCUGCAAGGGUCCUC